rnacentral:Y_RNA from 1 species
GGCUGGGCCAGGCGUGAUGGUGUUGACAGCUGGUUUAUCAGUCCCAGAUUUCUUUGUUCCGUCCCCACUCCCCCUGCUUCACUUGACUAGCCUAAG